CCAGGUUUUGGAAAAAGCAUUGAUGUUGACUGCUAGUUGACAAAGGGGAAGAAAUAGGUUCUUCAGGUGGCAGCAAUCAAGAAAACAAAGGCUUCCCAAAGUCACACAUGCAACCGGGCACUAUCAGGGCUGUCAGAGUUUCCAAGGACAGGGAGAGGGAGGCAGAUCCCAUGAAAUGAGGCUGGACAGGAAGUCCUCCCAACGAGGUUAUCAGGCAAAUCAAGAAGAGUGGGAAGUGCCCGAAGACAGGAGGCUGCCUGCCAGCGACUCCACGGGCUCAGGCUGUUUGUAGUUCAUGUGCAUAAUUUUUAAAGAUAGACAUAAGACAUACCCCUGAAGAUGAGUACAAGAGAGAAAGACAGGGCUCUGAAAAUACUGCCAUAGGCUCAAGUUCCAAAGUGCUGGAGUUACAAAAGUAUAAAGGACAACGCAAAGGACUUUUUAGCCAAAGAAGAACCAGAAAGGUUCUGAGCACUGAUUUCAUCAAGCCGAUGGAGGCAACAGUAAGUAUGAAUCCAGUCUCUGUGUGUUGGUUAUUUCAGAAAAAGUCCAACGAUAAUGACCUUCAUGUUCUUUAAAUAAGCAAAUUGUCAGAUGCAAAUAACUAUCACCCAAAUCAAUACAAUGAAAUAAGUGAAGCCUGGCGAUUUUUGCAUUUUGCCAAAAUACAUUCAAAAAUGGACAGUGACCCCAAAUGACAUUUGACAUUCCUUUGACAAAGGAAUCUCAAUCAAUAAAGAAUAUGAUAAUAUUCAGUAACGGCAUUCCACUCAGUUCUCUUUACCCUCUGCAAACAAUAGACAUUCCCAAAGUGUUAUCCUAUUGGGAAAAAUAUACACAGGCACACACACACACACAGAGGCACACACAUGUACAUAGGUACAUAUAUAUAGAAUAUUGGUUUAAUGGAGCUUAUGAGAGAAAACCAAUCAUUAUAGACUGAUGAAAAGCCCUGUGCUGCCUCAAUACUUCUUUAUUCCUAUAAAGGUAUUUUACAGUCACAUGAGGUAAAUAAGAACUAGGUUUCACUCCAAAAUAAUUACUUUUCAGGAAGCGUUGUCCUCAUUUUUGGUUCAGAGGACUAUUACAUGGUGUCAUGUCUUAUUAGAAGUUCUUAACAUCACUCAUUAUAGACUUAGGUAACAAAAGAAUCCUUUGGGAUGCAUUCUGUACUUAAACCAAACCACAAAUAUUUUUAGAUAUUUUAUUUGUUAAGAAUGCUUCAAAAUUUCAAUGCUUAUAUUGGAAAUGAAGGAAGAAGCGAACCUUAGAACUAGGGAUGGGGACAGCUCUGAAAUCCAAGUUUAUAUACUCCGCAUUGAUCCAUUUAUAUAUAUAUAACUUCAGACAUUCGUUCAUGAAACAUAUAUCAAGCAUCAGCUGCAUUCCAGAAUGGGUUGUCCUUUAAAAUUGUCUUAACUCAGAGUAAAAGGAUUUUUUUUAUUGCUGGUUGAAGGUGCUCCUCAAAAAGGCACAGCUUUGAGAUAAUGCAUUUAAUCCUCCCUUAACUAUCACAUAGUCUAUGCCCAAGAAAAUACAAAGACAAAUAAGAAAUGUUCCCUCAGAUAACUUGCUCAGCUGGAUCUCAUAUCCAAACCAGAAUCUCGUAUUAUGUAACUCCAUAAGCUUCUGUAUUUAUCAUCAUUGGAAUGUGUUUAAAUAAGACCAUCUGUGAAAGUAUUGCAAAAACAUAUCUAUUAUCAUUCUGAUUCAUUUAUGGAUGAUUUUCUUCAGAUGUUUGCAAACAUAAAGUUUCAACACGUGAAAAAAAUCACUUCUUAUUACUUGGUUGUCUUUGUUUAUCUUAAAAAUUGGUUUUAUUUCAUCUGAAGGCCAAACACAUCCCAAAACAACUAGUUAGAUAGUGAUCAUUUACAGAAAUUAAUCAGGACAAAGGCUUGAACUAUCUAAAAGAGCUCAACAAGAUUUUUAUAGCAAUUUAUUGAAAUAUAAUUCACCUAUCAUAAAAUGCAUUCUUUAAAGGGUAUAAUUCAGUGAUUUUUAGUUUAUUCACAGAACUGUAAAACCACUGACACUAUCUUUCAUCAUCCCAAAAUAAGGCAUAUUAGCAGUCCCUCCUCACUUUCCCCAAGGCUUCCCCAAAGCUCUUGGCCUCCACCACUCAACUUUCUGUGUCUACGGAUUUACCUAUUAUGGGCAUUUCCUAUAAAUAGAAUUAUACAAUAUGUGGCCCAUUAGUACUGCUUCUUUCACUUGGCACAGUGUUUCAAGGUUCAUCUGUGUUAGGGCAUGGAUCAGAACCUCAUUCUUUCUAUAAAAUGUCAAAUAAUAUUCCAUUGUGCAGACAUACCACAUUUUGUUUAUUCACCCAUCUGUUGAGCAUUUGGAUUAUUUCCAAUUUAGCUAUUCUGAAAAAAGCUGAUAAGAAUAUUUGUGUACAAGUUUUUGUGCAGAUGUAAGUUUUCAAUUUUCUUGAGUCUAUACCUAGGAGUAGAAUUACUGGGUCAUAUGUUAACUCUAUGCUUGACAUUUUGAGGGACUGUCAAACUGUUUUCCAACGUGGCUGCCCUAGUUUACAUUCCCACCAGCAAAGUAUGAGGGUUCAAAUUUCCCCACAUCCUCACCAACACUUGUUUCAGAAAGAUUUCUAUACAGGCAUGUGAAUAAAGUAUCUUAAUUUCUAAGAAUAGAAUAAAUUCAUUUCAAAGAAAAUAAUAAAAGCACACUAUACCAAUGUUAUUUAUGGGGAGAUUAAAAUAGUAUCAUUUUUCAUCCUGACAGUUUCUCAAAUCCCCGCACCAGGAUUCUAGGAAGAGAAUCUCUUGCAGCCAUUGUAUAUUCUCCCUGUGGCAGAGUAAUUCUUAAACUUUCCCUGGUGCAGGAAGGAGCGUCAUUGGGGGGUCUUCAGUGAACACCUCUCCUGCAGAUAAAGAAUAUGUUGUCCAAGCUGUGAGCAAUCAAGUGGCAUGUGUUCCUUAGGGCUGCAAGGCUGAAGAGUUUUUAUUUGGUUCCCAUCUCAUAGAAGUUAUUUAUGUAUCCUAACUGGAAUUUUGACUCUUGCUAUGAUUACUAUGUACCUUUUACCAAGCCUAUGCUCAGUCAUUUGACAAAUUUUAUAGUGUAAAUGACCAAAUAUUUCUCUCAGACAUAUUCCUUAGGGAAAAUUAAGAUGCACAGUAUGCUUCAAGAUGAUGGCCAAGAACAACCAACUCAACGAGCCUUCAGGAAUUCAUGAUUUGAAUAUCAUGUUCAAGGUAGACACCUUUUUAAAGUUAGGACAAUUAUUAAUGAUUCACAAAUACUUGAAAUUCUAUCAAAAGUCUAUGAUAUGAUAAUUUACAGUAUGCUUUGGGGAAAGAAUUCAGCCUUACUCAUUCUAGAGCUAGCAGAAGUGAACAACUAUAGAAUGUAAUAACUUUAGAAACAAGUAUGUGUGUGAAUGCGUGUUGCAUCUUAAGAGUUUAGGUUGAGUCCUAGGUAAGUUAUGUUGGCAUGUAUUCACUACACACUGCUAUUUGAAGCUGUUAAAUCACAUGCACAUACUCAUGUUAUUGGACUGCACCAUCCAUAAUUCUUAUUCCCAACAAACUGCUGUCAUGAAGUGCUUAGUAGGUCCUGGUGUGGUUAGUCCCUCAAAAUGUACUCUGGGUAUUGAGUCGAUGUCAUGAAAGGUUGCUGAUGGAUUUUAUUUGUUGGAUAGAAUAAGAGGCAAAUAGAAGGAGGUUUUAUUCUAUCUCCAGAGACCUCUAGUGUCUUCUGCUUUUAACAUGAGGAUGUUGUUGCUAUUCUCUGCUUCCAAGAUCUUUGCAGUACAUGGCCAAGAUCUUUACGGUACUGGCCAAGAUCUUUACAGUAGAUGCAAUGAAACUGGCAAUGCACUUUCUUACUUGCUAAGGGUACUGUAGAUCACCACUCUGUCUGGUUGUGAGAUCACAACAAUAAUAACCACAUUGCCUCAAGUACACUGUUAAAACUUGGGGAAUGCUUAGACAUGGCUUCAACUUGUCCAGGCUGCCUUCUAGAUAAAGAUCAAACCAAGAAAGUCCAUGUGUCACUGCUCCGUGAAGGCUCCGGGUGGAACUCCCUGCCCCACUCCACCUUUAAGAUUUCCAGCACAGUGUCUUCACCUCCUUCAGCGCCCCUGUUUACAUGUCCAUCUCUCUCUUUAGAAGGUAAGCUGCAGAGGAAGUAUCAGGUCUCGAUCAUCUUUAUAUCCCGACGGCUUACCGUGCAAUAAGUAAAUGAUAAAUGUGUAACUGUGGAGCACCGUAAUCCCCUAAAUUCCUUGCAAAAGAAAAAUUCUGUUUACACUUUCACUGCAAUGCAUCAUAAACUUUGUUAGCUUUUAUGCAGAUGAUGAUAGUAUGCCCUUCAUAAGGUUAGAGGGAUAAAUUGUGUGUGUGUGUGUGUAAACUGCCUGGCACUUAACGAAUAUUAAUAAUUGCUUUUAGUUCAAUAAAAUAAUCUAUGUAGAUUAAUGAUGGUUCUACUAAAUUUGUCAAAUGGGGUUCCCUAGUAUUACAUAGAAAGUGUUAAAAAUUCAAACAUAUUUACCUUGCACAUAAGCUCAAAUGAUUUUAAGCUGAAGUUAGCUUAUAAAAAUAAAUUAUUAAUUUAGUUAGUAAUCAAAGUCCAAACAAAUCCGUAAUCAUGAAGACUCUAAUCAUUUGUUUUUGUUCUUCCUAGCUACAGACAUCAGCAAACUCGAGAAAAGAAGGUUUGCUCUGGGAGAUUCUACAUGUGACCUGUUUAUAUGUAAUUAUAUUAUCUAUUACUCAAGUAUUUGUCUUGUGCUGUCUAAAUUAUAAGCUUCUCAACUGUUUGCCUUGAGUGAGAUGUGCACGCUAAAGCCUCUCAAUAAAUAUUAAUUGAAUGAAUAAUUGAAAAAAACCCUGACUGCCUUUUUACUUAAAUCCAAGCCUUUGCUAAGUUUUAACUUUC
rnacentral:lncRNA from 10 species